AAGAAGAGAAGCCAAGUGCAAACACAUGGUCCACUACAGAUUUGCUGUUGAGACACAUUAUUGUGAGUGUGGGUUUAGCGGGUCUCCUCAUCUGUGUGGCAGCUGUUCACAUCUGGACCAGGACCAAAGAAUUACAAACUGAGAGGAGUCCACACAGAAUGAGCCGCAGAAACAGAUUGGACUUGGAUGAUUAUAUUUAUGAAAAUAUGGGAGAAGUUUCUGUUUAAACAUUCAACGAAUUCACUACCAGACCAUCUGCUGCCACUUAGGGCUGUCAAAAGUAUCAA